GACGAACGCUGGCGGCGUGCUUAACACAUGCAAGUCGAGCGGUAAGGCUCCUUCGGGAGUACACGAGCGGCGAACGGGUGAGUAACACGUGAGCAAUCUGCCCUUCACAUCGGGAUAAGCACCGGAAACGGUGUCUAAUACCGAAUACGACCACUUCCGGCAUCGGAUGGUGGUGGAAAGUUCCGGCGGUGAAGGAUGAGCUCGCGUCCUAUCAGCUUGUUGGUGAGGUAACGGGUCACCAAGGCUUCGACGGCUAGCGGGCCUGAGGGGGUGAGCGGCAACACUGGGACUGAGACACGGCCCAGACUCCUACGGGAGGCAGCAGUGGGGAAUAUUGGACAAUGGGCGAAAGCCUGAUCCAGCAACGCCGCGUGAGGGACGAUUGCCUUCGGGUUGUAAACCUCUUUCAGCAGGGACGAAGCGAAAGUGACGGUACCUGCAGAAGAAGCACCGGCCAACUACGUGCCAGCAGCCGCGGUAAUAC
rnacentral:rRNA from 1 species